rnacentral:rRNA from 1 species
UCCGGGCGCCAUGGCGGCCGCGGGAAUUCGAUUAGAGUUUGAUCAUGGCUCAGAUUGAACGCUGGCGGCAUGCUUUACACAUGCAAGUCGAGCGGCAGCGCGGGGGCAACCCUGGCGGCGAGCGGCGAACGGGUGAGUAAUGCAUCGGAACGUGUCCCGUAGUGGGGGAUAACCCGGCGAAAGCCGGAUUAAUACCGCAUACGACCUACGGGUGAAAGCGGGGGAUCGCAAGGCCUGGCGCGAAUGGGUUGGCCGAUGCCCGAUUAGCUAGUUGGUGAGGUAAAGGCUCACCAAGGCGAUGAUCGGUAGCUGGUCUGAGAGGAUGAUCAGCCACACUGGGACUGAGACACGGCCCAGACUCCUACGGGAGGCAGCAGUGGGGAAUUUUGGACAAUGGGGGCAACCCUGAUCCAGCCAUUCCGCGUGAGUGAAGAAGGCCUUCGGGUUGUAAAGCUCUUUUGUCCGGAACGAAACGGUUUGCGUGAAUAGCGCCGACUACUGACGGUACCGGAAGAAUAAGCACCGGCUAACUACGUGCCAGCAGCCGCGGUAAUACGAAUCACUAGUGAAUUCGCGGCCGCCUGCAGGUCGACCAUAUGGGAGAGCUCCCAACGCG